UCCCAGUGAUGAACAUUUUAGUAAUCUGGAACGGUGAUAAAAUGGGGCUCCCUCUUGGAUUAUUUCCGUGGAGGUUUUAGAGGAACCAUUGUUGAAGAUACUUGGCAACUUCUGAGGGUC
rnacentral:snoRNA from 14 species